UACGUAGGGUGCGAGCGUUACUCGGAAUUACUGGGCGUAAAGUGUGCGCAGGCGGCGCCGCAUGUCGAGUGUGAAAGCCCCGAGCUUAACUUGGGAAUUGCGCUCGAAACUACGGUGCUGGAGUGUGGCAGAGGAAGGUGGAAUUCCACGUGUAGCGGUGAAAUGCGUAGAGAUGUGGAGGAACACCGAUGGCGAAGGCGGCCGACUGGCCGAGUGCUGACGCUGAGGCGCGACGGCGUGGGGAGCAAACCGG
rnacentral:rRNA from 1 species